UAACAGGGUAGCAAUACCGCUGACGACCGGCGCACGGGUGAGUAACGCGUAUGCAACCUGCCUAUAACUGGGGAAUAGCUCCCUGAAAGGGGAAUUAACACCGCAUAACACUAUUGAUUCGCAUGGAUUGGUAGUUAAAUGUAGCGAUACAGGUUAUAGAUGGGCAUGCGUGACAUUAGCUAGUUGGUGAGGUAACGGCUCACCAAGGCUACGAUGUCUAGGGGUUCUGAGAGGAAGGUCCCCCACACUGGUACUGAGACACGGACCAGACUCCUACGGGAGGCAGCAGUGAGGAAUAUUGGUCAAUGGGCGCAAGCCUGAACCAGCCAUGUCGCGUGCAGGAAGACUGCCCCUAUGGGUUGUAAACUGCUUUUAUAGUAGAAGAAACACAUCUACGUGUAGAUGUCUGCCAGUAUACUAUGAAUAAGCAUCGGCUAACUCCGUGCCAGCCGCCGC
rnacentral:rRNA from 1 species